rnacentral:misc_RNA from 1 species
GCCACACAAACUUCUCCCUUGUUAAAAAAUAUGGCCAUGAGAGCAAGAGAAACAGCCAUGUCAACAUCAGCAUCAUCAAAGAUAAGAAUAGGGCACUUCCCUCCUAAUUCAAGAGACACAUGCUUCAGAUUACUUUUUGCAGCUGCUUCCAUCACAAGGCGUCCCACUGCUGUGGAUCCAGUAAAGCUAACCUUGUCAACAUCCAUGUGAGAACUAAUAGCAGCCCCUGCCGUGUGUCCGAAGCCUGUAAUGACAUUCAGAACUCCAUCCGGAAUUCCUGCCUGCUUAGCCAAGUGUGCAUAAAAGAGAGCAGAGAGUGGAGUCUGCUCAGCUGGCUUAACGAUCAUGGUGCAACCGGCGGCUAGGGCAGGGGACACCUUGAAGAAGAACAUGGUAGAUGGGAAGUUCCAAG